CAUGAUUUUAUUUAAUGGCCGCGGUAUAUUGACCGUGCAAAGGUAGCAUAAUCAUUAGUUUAUUAAUUGUGGACUAGAAUGAAUGGUUUUACGAAAUAUUAACUGUCUCAUUAUUAUUAUUAUAAUUUAAUUUUUGAGUUAAAAAGCUUAAAUUUUUUUAGAGGACGAGAAGACCCUAUAGAUCUUUAUUUUUAUUUUAUAUUAUUUUUGGGUUUUAUUAUUUUUAUAGAUUUUUAGUUGGGGUGACUUUAGGAUAAGAUUAACUCCUUUUUAUAUUUUUCAUUUAUUUAUGUUUAGUUGAUCUUUUAUUAUUGUUUAUAAGAUAAAGAUACCUUAGGGAUAACAGCGUAAUUUUUAUUGAGAGUUCAUAUUGACAUAGAAGAUUGCGACCUCGAUGUUGAAUUAAGAUUAUUAUUAGGUGUAGAAGUUUAAUUAUUGGGUCUGUUCGACCUUUAAAAUCUUACAUGAUCUGAGUUCA
rnacentral:rRNA from 1 species